rnacentral:misc_RNA from 1 species
GACAAGAAGAUCCUAAAAAGAACAACCAGUGGUGCCGCUUUACUUUCAAAAUAACCAACUGAUUCUUUUCAUUUCUAAGCAAAGCCUUCCAUGACCGAAACAAAUUCGAUUUUACAUAAACAUCGAAGCAUUACCAAAAUGAAGGAGUCUGCUAUAUGUACAUAUGAUUUAUAAUUUCCAUCGUUCGCUAAAUGGCCACAGGAUUUCAAGGCUGACACCAGGAACUCAUGUUUUCACUCGAGUUUCGGCAACUUUUUAACCAGAAAGUUUUUAG